GGGUGGAAAAGGGCAGAUGCCAUUUUAACGUUUUCAGUGUUAUGGUUUAGUAUUUAAACUACUUGUCCA
rnacentral:tRNA from 1 species